rnacentral:rRNA from 1 species
AGGCAGCAGUAGGGAAUCUUCCGCAAUGGACGAAAGUCUGACGGAGCGACGCCGCGUGAGCGAAGAAGGUCUUCGGAUCGUAAAGCUCUGUUGUUAGGGAAGAAGAAGUGCCGUUAGAACAGGGCGGCGCGGUGACGGUACCUAACGAGAAAGCCCCGGCUAACUACGUGCCAGCA